GAUAAUUGAAAAUGACCACUCUGCUUUGGUGCUUUUAAUCUUCUUCCACAAUAAGAACUUCAAAUUGCACUUGAAGAGUUACUCAUCAGCCAUUGGGUUAUACAGCCAAAGUGUAGGUUAAGAAAAAGGGAAGAAACAAGAAAUGAAUCUCCAUAUUCUAAUGGGAAAAAUAGGAUCAGUAGCUUACCUGAUGAAAUAAUUCACUGCAUCAUGUCUUUUAAUGAUACCAAAAAUGUAGUCCAAACUUGUGUUUUGUCCAAAAGAUGGAUUCCUAUUUGGAAAUAUGUCCCAUAUCUUAGCAUCAAUGAAAGUUCAUUUCCUCUA